rnacentral:piRNA from 1 species
UGCAACUGGACUGGAAAGCCGGGUGACAC